rnacentral:rRNA from 1 species
UACGUAGGGGGCGAGCGUUGUCCGGAGUUACUGGGCGUAAAGGGCAUGCAGGCGGUCAGGCGCGUUUUGUGUGACAGCGGAUGGCUUAACUGUCCGAGGAUACGAGAUACGGCGUGACUUGAGAGCGCGAGAGGGACACGGAAUUCCGGGUGGAGUGGUGAAAUGCGUAGAGAUCCGGAGGAACACCGAAGGCGAAGGCAGUGUCCUGGCGCGUAUCUGACGCUGAGGUGCGAAAGCCAGGGAGCGAACGGG